GUAACAAGGUCUCCGUUGGUGAACCAGCGGAGGGAUCAUUACCGAGUUUACAACUCCCAAACCCCUGUGAACAUACCAAUUGUUGCCUCGGCGGAUCAGCCCGCUCCCGGUAAAACGGAACGGCCCGCCAGAGGACCCCUAAACUCUGUUUCUAUAUGUAACUUCUGAGUAAAACCAUAAAUAAAUCAAAACUUUCAACAACGGAUCUCUUGGUUCUGGCAUCGAUGAAGAACGCAGCAAAAUGCGAUAAGUAAUGUGAAUUGCAGAAUUCAGUGAAUCAUCGAAUCUUUGAACGCACAUUGCGCCCGCCAGUAUUCUGGCGGGCAUGCCUGUUCGAGCGUCAUUUCAACCCUCAAGCCCCCGGGUUUGGUGUUGGGGAUCGGCGAGCCUCACGGCAAGCCGGCCCCGAAAUACAGUGGCGGUCUCGCUGCAGCUUCCAUUGCGUAGUAGUAAAACCCUCGCAACUGGUACGCGGCGCGGCCAAGCCGUUAAACCCCCAACUUCUGAAUGUUGACCUCGGAUCAGGUAGGAAUACCCGCUG
rnacentral:rRNA from 1 species